AUCAUCAUAAGUGUAAAUUGGCCUAUAUUCUUUGAAGUAACUUUACUUUCAGAAUAAAAACUUCACUGAAUUUAGAAAAUUGAUGACUGCCAUAGAGUUGAAGACGACAGUAACAACUUCCAGUGUUAUCAACGCUGUUAUGUACUCGACCCUGUUCCAGAGAUACGGUAUAGUUGUCACUGUCGCCGACCUCAUGCAACAAUUAAGAGGCCAGCUAUUCGCCUUUAGCUACGAAAUUCGCCACGUAAGGAUUACGGUUACGCACGCACCCAUUCAUUUGGCCAAAAGAGAAGAGCGAUUGCUGCGACGUACAGUUUAGUGCAAAUGAUGCUACUUACUACACUUUACAUUGUUGUGAGACAUGAGUACAUAAGCCCUCACGUUGCCUGACCCAUCCUCCCCAAAAGUGCACAUUGUAGCCCCGGUCCACUGGCGUGCAACGUGUGAAACAUAAGGUACCGUUACGUGCGUGUGAUGUCGAGACGGUGUUACGGGUCGUGCCGAAACAUGGCCUAAAAUGCACAAUUUAUGAGUGUGGCACCAGCGCAUUCAUACAUUUCUGAUUUAUAUAUUACAUUAUAAGGGCCAAAUGCAUUAUACACGCGAGAGACAGGAUCAUACAAAACUUGGGAGACGCUCAAGCUUCGCAUUUAAGAGUACAAUGCGUUAGCAUAUUAGAAUAUAACGAUUCCCGGCUACUGCGGCUUAUGCAACCGUAAUCUUUACCGGGAAAUGCCUGGGGCGAACGCUAUGCAUGAAGGCGAACUUUCUAGUUCUUUUUUUUUUCCCGAAGACCCGGUGCCGCCACUCCCGCGGAAGCGCGGGGGCAAGCGCGAUCUAGUGGUGAUACAAGGAACCGAGCGCCGCUCUGUGAUUGGUAGAGCCUCGGCACGCCGCGAGCGCGACUCCCUGAUUGGUAGAAA